rnacentral:rRNA from 1 species
CCUACGGGGUGCAGCAGUGGGGAAUAUUGGGCAAUGGGCGAAAGCCUGACCCAGCAACGCCGCGUGAAGGAAGACGGCUUUCGGGUUGUUAACCUCUUUUGACAGGGAAGAGAAGAAGACGGUACCUGUCGAAUAAGCCAUGGCUAACUACGUGCCAGCAGCCGCGGUAAUACGUAGGUGGCCAGCGUUGUCCGGAUUUACUGGGUGUAACGGGCGUGUAGCCGGGCUGACAAGUCAGAUGUGAAAUCCGGGGGCUCAACCCCCGAACUGCAUUUGAAACUGUUGGUCUUGAGUAUCGGAGAGGCAGGCGGAAUGCCUGGUGGAGCGGUGAAAUGCGUAGAUAUUAGGAGGAACACCAGUGGCGAAGGCGGCCUGCUGGACGACAACUGACGGUGAGGCGCGAAAGCGUGGGGAGCAAACAGGAUUAGAUACCCGGGUAGUC